rnacentral:misc_RNA from 1 species
GGAAGGAUCAUUCCUAAUAAACCGAAAGGUUUAAUUUCAACAGUUGAACUUGUAGCGUGUGUAAGGGUGUGGUGGUGUCGGAAUUCACGUUUCGGUUAUCAUCACCCGCCACAUGCGUACUCAACCAUUCGAUCGUGCAGUGUAAAAACUCGCGAACCCGAAUAACUUAACCAGGACUUCGAGAACAUGGCUUAUGAAACGACUCGUCGAGUCGACUUAAAUCAUACAGCUAUUAGCAACGGAUACCUCGGUUCUCAUAACGAUGAAGAACGCAGCGAAACGCGAUAUUUAGUGCGAAUUGCAGAAUUCAGUGAAUCAUCAAAAUUUUGAACGCAAGUUGCGCUCUUGGGAUAUUCCUGGGAGCAUGCCUCUUUCAGUGUCGGUCUUCAAUACAAACAUCUCUGAUGCUUGUGUCUUGCACUCCACACGAACGCUCGUCGUUCUGCGUUGUGUCGAAUUCCACGCACUGCUGGUGAGCCGACCCUUUUGCAAAGACGACUCGAGUUACAAGGACAGUUUACUGUUCAAACGUGCUUGAUCGACUACAAAAACGCGAAAUGUGUCCUCGCCAAGAAAGCAGAGUCAGUUCCGUCCAGCAGCUUUUUUCACAAAAGCUCGGCGACAACACCGAACAACAAUGACCUGAAAGAGGUAAGAUUACCCGCUUGACUUAAGCAUAUCAAUAAGCGGAGGAAAAGAAACUAAAUAGGAUUCCCCUAGUAACGGCGAGUGAAAAGGGAUUAGCCCAACCCGAUAAUCGUCCGGCUUCGCUGGAAGAAUUGUAGGUUAUGGAGGUGAGGACAGCGUCGGUCUUGGUCAAAGUGUGUUGGAAUGCACCGGCUGAGAGGGUGAGACCCCCGUGUUGGGCUAAAGACACGGCGCGUACGUUCCGCUUUCCGAGAGUAGGUUUGCUUGAGAGUGCAGACUGAAAUGGGUGGUAAAUUCCAUCCAAGGCUAAAUACCUAUGAGAGACCGAUAGCGCACAAGUACCGUGAGGGAAAGGUGAAAAGGACUUUGAAAAGAGAGUCAAAAGUACUUGAAAUUGCUAAUAGGUAAGCGAUAAGGAGUAGUGUAUGGUUGGGCCACACGUUGGUUUUCGCAGUUGAAGUGCCGGUUUGGGCGGGGCGUCAUUCGACGUGAGCUCAGGCCGACAGCAGGCUGUCUGGCUAAUUCGUGAGUUCAGCUUGUGUCAUGGCGGAUUCGUGCGGCACUAAUCGUCCGUGUCUGGGUAGCUUGGGGCAACUCAAGUGCAGGGACGCGGUCACGAAGUGACGCAUGGAUUGGUCUUGACAAAAUAUUCCUUAUUGACCCGUCUUGAAACACGGACCAAGGAGUCUAGCAUGUAGGCGAGUCUAUGGGUGUUAAACCCUACGGCGCAAUCAACGUAAAGGAGUGUCUGACAUUCUGAGGUGUGCAGCGCAAGCUUCAGCACCGCCCGGCAAUUCCCUAGUGUUUUGUUCGAGGUAGAGCCUAUCUGGUAGGACCCGAAAGAUGGUGAACUAUGCCUGAGCAGGGUGAAGCCAGGGGAAACUCUGGUGGAAGCUCGUAGCGAUACUGACGUGCAAAUCGUUCGUCUGACUUGGGUAUAGGGGCGAAAGACUAAUCGAACCAUCUAGUAGCUGGUUCCCUC